rnacentral:rRNA from 1 species
GACGAACGCUGGCGGCGUGCUUAACACAUGCAAGUCGAACGGAAAGGCCUCUUUCGGGGGGUACUCGAGUGGCGAACGGGUGAGUAACACGUGAGUAACCUGCCCUUGACUUUGGGAUAACUUCAGGAAACUGGGGCUAAUACCGGAUAGGAGCUCCUGCUGCAUGGUGGGGGUUGGAAAGUUUCGGCGGUUGGGGAUGGACUCGCGGCUUAUCAGCUUGUUGGUGGGGUAGUGGCUUACCAAGGCUUUGACGGGUAGCCGGCCUGAGAGGGUGACCGGCCACAUUGGGACUGAGAUACGGCCCAGACUCCUACGGGAGGCAGCAGUGGGGAAUAUUGCACAAUGGGUGGAAGCCUGAUGCAGCAACGCCGCGUGCGGGAUGACGGCCUUCGGGUUGUAAACCGCUUUCGCUCAUGACGAAGCUUUGUGUGACGGUAGUGGGUAAAGAAGCACCGGCUAACUACGUG